AAAACUUUUCAGCUAGAGUAUGAUAGAGGAAAGCAGAAUUUCUAGUGUAGAGGUGAAAUUCGUAGAUAUUAGAAAGAAUACCAAUUGCGAAGGCAGCUUUCUGGAUCAUUACUGACACUGAGGAACGAAAGCAUGGGUAGCGAAGAGGAUUAGAUACCCUCGUAGUCCAUGCCGUAAACGAUGUGUGUUAGACGUUGGAAAUUUAUUUUCAGUGUCGCAGGGAAACCGAUAAACACACCGCCUGGGGAGUACGACCGCAAGGUUAAAACUCAAAUGAAUUGACGGGGACCCGCACAAGUAGUGGAGCAUGUGGUUUAAUUCGAAGAUACGCGCAGAACCUUACCAACACUUGACAUGUUCGUCGCGACUCUAAGAGAUUAGAGUUUUCGGUUCGGCCGGACGAAACACAGGUGCUGCAUGGCUGUCGUCAGCUCGUGUCGUGAGAUGUUGGGUUAAGUCCCGCAACGAGCGCAACCCUCACUUUUAGUUGCCAUCAUUAAGUUGGGCACUCUGAAAGAACUGCCAGUGAUAAGCUGGAGGAAGGUGGGGAUGACGUCAAGUCCUCAUGGCCCUUACGUGUUGGGCUACACACGUGCUACAAUGGUAUCUACAACAGGAAGCAAGACUGCGAAGUUAAGCAAAUCCCUAAAAGAUACCUCAGUUCGGAUUGCACUCUGCAACUCGAGUGCAUGAAGCUGGAAUUACUAGUAAUCGUGGAUCAGCGUGCCACGGUGAAUGCGUUCCCGGGUCUUGUACACACCGCCCGUCACACCAUGGGAGUUGGUUCUACCUUAAGGCAAGGUUUUAAACCCUUGACCACGGUAUAGUCAGCGACUGGGGUGAAGUCGUAACAAGGUAGCCGUA
rnacentral:rRNA from 1 species